AGGUGGUGUGGGUGAUACCGGCUGUACUGUUGGAGCUUGGACUCAGAGAGGAAUGGUAGAGGGUAAACCUUAGGAGGAACCGGUCACAGGAAAGAGCUCCUUCUGGAACUGUCAAGCACUCGCUGAAACGCAGUGUACAACACGGGACUUCACGACCAGAGCUCCUUUUGGCAAGAUGUGUUGUAGCUGGCUUAAGAGAGCAGAUGGAAGCCUCUGCCUCGAGGGCAGGUGCCUCGCACAGACUCAGAGGGGCUAAGCUGCACUCCUGAAGAGCAGCACGAGAAGGGCAGGCUGGUCGUGAGUGGGGUUGGAGCAGGAUGGCCAAGUAGCACAAGGUGACUGCGAAGGGUAUCCAUCUUGCUUUGCAGGUGCAAUGGCAGGCUUUCCACAGAAGUGGCUGAGGAUUCGAGAAGAGGUUACAGAGCAUCAAGGAGCGGCACGUGCAGUGAUGGCUUCCAAAACGGUGAAGAGGUGCCUGAAGCCCCAUCCUGUCUAGCCUGCGCACACGUCGCUAAGAAUGAAAGCUGAUUUCCAGUGAUAAGAGAACAAAGGGAUUUCUUUAGAGAAAAAACUGCUGACUCUGCACGGACGUGCAGUAACUUCUGACAUCCGGCCAAGAGACCACCAGAUAAGGAGGAAGAAUAUGAGCCUCCCGUCCGAGCGGCCCCCAAGAGACUACCAGAGACUGAUAAGCAGGCGCCCUUGGGAGGACUUUGGAUUCGGGAAACCAAUUAUAAUAACCCUGCCUCUUUUUAAAGUAGUAAUAAAUAUGAAGUAGCCUAGGAGUAUAAAAAAUCAGCCGUCUUACGUAACGGGUAUGCGUCUUGGUGGAGCAGAGACUCCCAGCGCACCCAGCGCUGUUUGCUUGCCUCUAUUCGUUUAAUAAACUGUAAACUUUGAUUGCA